rnacentral:rRNA from 1 species
UACGAAGGGAGCUAGCGUUGUUCGGAAUCACUGGGCGUAAAGCGCACGUAGGCGGAUGUGUCAGUCAGGGGUGAAAUCCCGGAGCUCAACUUCGGAACUGCCUUUGAUACAGCACGUCUUGAGUCCGAUAGAGGUGGGUGGAAUUCCUAGUGUAGAGGUGAAAUUCGUAGAUAUUAGGAAGAACACCAAUGGCGAAGGCAGCUUGCUGGGACGGUACUGACGCUGAGGCGCGAAAGCGUGGGGAGCAAACAGG